CUCUCUCUCUCCAUCAAUUUCCCGGCGAAAAUAAGGCCUUUUUAUAAUCUCUUUGUGCAUACAAAUUUCUUUUUUCUUACAGAGACGCCGCAGACACAGAGAGGACAACGACAAAGAGAGUCAAAAGUUUUAGGAUUAAUGGCGAUGGAGCCAGAGAGAUCGAAUUCAAGGUCACUCCACAACUUCUCUUUGCCACUCCCCAAUUGGGGCUCUUGUAGAUACCUUCGCUGUGUCAAGGACUCCGAAGACUUGAACCGAUCUCUAUUUAUAAACCCAAUUCACGAUAAGCUCAAACCCGAUCUUGGAUUCUUGAAGAAGAGACCAAGAGUCUCUGUUGUUGAAGAGAGAGGCUGUAUUGAUGCUUCUGCGAAGCCAUGGAAUUUGAGGACUAGAAGGGCCGCGGCUUGCAAGGAUGGGAGGACGGCGAGUGUUUUUGUGGAUACAAAGGAGGAGAAGGUGGUAGUGGAGGAGAAGAGGGAUGAUGAGGAGAAGAAGAAGAAGAGAGUGAAGUUGUCGGUGUCCCUGUUGAAGGAGGAGAUCGAGGAGGAUUUCGCGGUGAUGCUCCGGAUUAGGCCUCCUAGGAGGCCAAAGAAGAGGGCUCGGAUAGUACAGAGGCACCUUGAUUCAAUUUUCCCAGGAUUGUGGCUAAAGGAAGUUACAGCAGAAGCAUACAAAGUUCCUGAUGUCCCUGAAUCUUCAUGUUUUUGAAUCUUGAGAUGAGAAGAGAUAAUUGUACUUGUUAUAUUGGAGUUUCAGCUCAUCUGCUUCCUAAAGAUGGUGCAUUAUAACCUGAAUUCAUGGUCUUUGGCUUACCGCUUAAUGCUGGAGAGAGAAAAACAAGCAGGUUGAAUGAAGAUGUAUAAAAGCCAACUCACCAACCCAAACUGCAGAAAAAGAUUGGCAUUAUAUGGAGGAAGUUAAUGUAGGACUGAGCCAACGUGUUGGCCAUCACCAUGAUUAGAUGAAAUUUGUCACAUAAAGCUUUUCCUUGCCAUUGGUUUGCACAAUUAGUUUCUGGAAGAUUUCAUCAGUCAGCUACUGAGUGCCUACUCAAGAUAUUAUUGGUAUCAUUCUCCUCAACUAGUCUUUUUCCAUCA